rnacentral:lncRNA from 1 species
UACAAUAUAGUAUUGUAUUAAAUGGUAUUGUAUAAAUAGCAUUCUAGGCAUUAGUCCUGACAAAUUCAUGUCUUGUGGGAUGAGGUUUAGAAUGACACUGAUCAUGUUACGAGAUGAUCUUAGAUUUUGGGAACUGUAGCCAAUCGCAGAUUAAACUUUUUGCAUUGUGGAGUCCUCUUUUCAAUGUGAAUGGUCUGUGACAGAAAAUGUG